ACUAUAUCUCUAAGGUUUUUUGUGUAAGUAGGUCCAUUUCAGUGCAGUCAAGAACUUUCUGAAUAAUCAAAUUAUAUGUUGGCAUUUGGUCACCCUUCCAGCAUUGUGCCAACGCAAUUCUUGCUGCCGUAAUUAUAUGGAGAAUUAAAUAUUUUGGUUUUUUUGCGUAGUCCCC